AAGUCGUAACAAGGUUUCCGUAGGUCAAGUUUAGUCCCUGCCACAGCGGGUCAACCUCGCUAGUCUCCGCUGGGGCGACACGCUCAACCUGUGGGAAAGGCCCCGUGCCCAGGGAAAUCCACACCCACUUCCCUCGCCCGGAAGCGGUUUAGAGGCUCAAUGGAGCCUGGGUGCGGAUCUCACGCGCUUGAGUCGAGUCGUCCAGCUGACGCUAGGGCGACGAACUGCGGAGUCAUCCAGCAUUGACGCUUUAGCGAAGCCAGAUUCUUCACCCCGGUGUCAUACAUCUAUCGUCUGUUGCUUUGGCGGGCGCCUGGCCGCCUGCCGAUGGGAAACCCUUGAAUCUCUGCAGUCAUGAAGCAUCGAAUAAAAUAGUCGAAAA
rnacentral:misc_RNA from 1 species